UGGGGAAUAUUGCGCAAUGGGCGAAAGCCUGACGCAGCGACGCCGCGUGAGGGAUGAAGGUUUUCGGAUCGUAAACCUCUGUCAGAAGGGAAGAAACCGCACUGUGCUAAUCAGCAGUGCCUUGACGGUACCUUCAAAGGAAGCACCGGCUAACUCCGUGCCAGCAGCCGCGGUAAUACGGAGGGUGCAAGCGUUAAUCGGAAUUACUGGGCGUAAAGCGCACGUAGGCUGCUUUGUAAGUCAGGGGUGAAAUCCCACGGCUCAACCGUGGAACUGCCUUUGAUACUGCUUAGCUUGAAUCCGGGAGAGGGUGGCGGAAUUCCAGGUGUAGGAGUGAAAUCCGUAGAUAUCUGGAGGAACAUCAGUGGCGAAGGCGGCCACCUGGACCAGUAUUGACGCUGAGGUGCGAAAGCGUGGGGAGCAAACAGG
rnacentral:rRNA from 1 species